ensembl:lncRNA
UUAUAAUCAGAAUAUAUAUUUUAUACAGAGAUACAUACAGACAUAAAAUACAUAUUUUUAUACACACCUAAUUAUAUCCAAAUAUAAAUUUGGAUAUAUUUAUUUAUAUUUAUAUCCAAAUAUAAAUAUAAAAUUCUAUUACAUAUAAUAGGAUGUUCUGUAUUUCACAGCUGGUAAUCACGGUCUCAGUUUUGGAUAAAGACAUGGAAGAGCACCCAAACACCAACACGUAUUUCAUGGUGCCAGGAAGCUCCAUCCCCCUUUCAGACAAACAAUCAGAAAGCGUGGGUGCUGGAAGAACUAAUGGAUAGACUUGGAUACUUCAACAUCGGUGCGUUUCCUGGCUGGACUGAGAGGAAGCAGACUGAUGAACGGUCAAACUCAGAACCAUGAUGAAUUAACGAUGUAAAUACACAUUUUUUUUAGGUGCUAUAUGAUUGAUUUUUGGAGAAGCACUUCAUAGGGUAUUUUCUACCAUCUUUAGAAUUUAAAAUAAUCUCCAGGUUUUCAUAUCGGUACACAGUAAAUUACUACAAAGUAGUAAAAUGAUAGAAAGCUCCAAUACACGUAAUAAUGACCUGUAAAAAGUCAAGACAGAUGAUACAUUAGUUGAUUAAAAAAUAAAAUAAAAUCAAUAAGCACUGCUGCAUAGCAAUUUAUUUCCAGGUGACAUGCUUGCUGUAGGGAGGAUCUUGAGGGAGAAAGGCAGAGUUCAAUAGUUCCAUAUGAAGUACCUCAUGUUUUGCUGCUCAUCUUCAUGCCAGUGUGUCUCAAGAGGUUGUCACAGCCAGCAUGGCAUAUGGAUCCCUUCUGAGCAGGCUGCUGUGCAUUGCCAGCUGCAAGAGUAUUGAUGCUGCCCCAUCAAGACAGGUAUUUGAGCCAUGCUGUACAGUCUUCACUUGACUGAAAAAUUGCAUAUGCAAAUAAUACAAUACAAUACGAAAAUCACUUCAUUACCACAGCAGAGGAAGGAGGUUAAUUCAUUAUGAACCACAUGAUUUUGUGAAAGGCUAUCAGCCUUCUCAAAUGAAAGAAUAAAACGGUUUGUGUCCCAAUCAAUCCAUACUUUCUGGACUUGGCUUUUAUUACAAUAUUGUUUUUUGCAGAAAAAAAGUUGUCACAAGAGAAAAAUAUUUACUAUGUAUAUAUUAUUUUGAUAAAAAACUGUCCAAGACAACAAACAGGAUAAAAGGAACUGGAUUCCUUAGAGUUGUUAUUAAAUAGCUGCACAUAGAUAUGUCCAUAUGCCACACACGCUACUGCUAAACAUCACUGUUAACAAGUAAAGCACCACCAGAAAUAAUUCUGCAUUACUAAGUAACAAAGUUUGAAGGCAUUAAGCACCCACUUCUUUUCCAUCAAAUAAACAGGUAACCUUAAACAUCACUUGAAAGGCAGAAAUACAUACAUUUAGCUGUGCUAAUGUCAAAAACAUUGCCAGAUUUUUAAUUACACAUUUAAAUAUCUAGCUGAGGUACCAAACAGUUCAGAAGACCUUUAGGCAUCGCUAGCUCUGCAUUUGGCAUAGUAAGAGUGCAGCAACAGAAAGGUGGUAUUUUCUUUUAGCUGUACUGACGAUGUAGGAAUGAUUACUAAAAUAACACACACUGCAUGUUUUAGAAUUCCCACUUUUUUAAAGUUAAGUUUUUAAAAGAGUACUAAAGGCAUGAUUAUACAGAUUUAUGUUGAGGUAUAAUUUCACAUGAAAUAUUGCUUGUGUUGGAAUCAACUCAGCUUUUCUUUCAUCUCUAAUACCACAGUACUCUAGAGUCCACCUGUCAGUCCAUAUUUAGGAUAUUCAUAGAUUCAACCACCAAUUAGCAAAACAGAAGUUACUCAUUACUUCUCCAAACACAAUAGCAAACCAGACAUCUCCAAAUGGAAAUAGAACACGCGUGCCCACACACUCACACAAACAGCCUACUCUUUCUCCUGUUAGAUUUUUGGUUAAAGGACUGGUUAUACGAAGUUAUAGCAGUCAUUACGAAGGGUUUCAAUGACAGUUUACAAUCCCUACAACCUGCUUGUGCAGCUCCUAUUCAUGUGAAUUGCAUGGGGAAGCUCAUGAAGGAUCACAAGAUUUGGACAUUUGCAGAUGACUUAGUAAAAAUAAGGUGGUAAGAACAAGAUUUGGUCCCUAACCUUCUACCUUUCAGUAACCAGUAAUGCCACAGAGCAAAUAGUUCGAAGA